CCUACGGGAGGCUGCAGUGGGGAAUAUUGCACAAUGGGGGAAACCCUGAUGCAGCGACGCCGCGUGAGUGAAGAAGUAUUUCGGUACGUAAAGCUCUAUCAGCAGGGAAGAAAAUGACGGUACCUGACUAAGAAGCCCCGGCUAACUACGUGCCAGCAGCCGCGGUAAUACGUAGGGGGCAAGCGUUAUCCGGAUUUACUGGGUGUAAAGGGAGCGUAGACGGCAGCGCAAGUCUGGAGUGAAAUCCCAUGGCUUAACCAUGGAACUGCUGUGGACACUGUGCAGCUAGAGUGCAGGAGAGGUAAGCGGAAUUCCUGGUGUAGCGGUGAAAUGCGUAGAUAUUAGGAGGAACACCAGUGGCGAAGGCGGCUUACUGGACUGUAACUGACGUUGAGGCUCGAAAGCGUGGGGAGCAAACAGGAUUAGAUACCCCUGUAGUC
rnacentral:rRNA from 1 species